GCCAGGGGCAGUGGCGCACACCUGUAAUCCCAGCAGCUCAGGAGGCUGAGGCAGGAGGAUUGUGAGUUCAAAACCAACCUCAGCAACUUAGCGAGACCCUAUCUCAA
rnacentral:sRNA from 1 species